GAAAUAACUGAGAUGGGUUAUGUAAGCAUAAAAACACACUGUCAUCGUUUGCUUCAAAAGUUUGUUUGAAAUGUUUUAAAUCCUAGAAAAUCAGGGAAGUGUCAGCAAAAUCUAUAUUUGGUAUGGCAUCGGAAAAAUCACAAGAUUAGAGUCUUCUGUUGAAACGAGGACUGAAAACAUGGCUGUUAAGAGAAGUAUGUGCUGUCGUAAGAGCCUGCAGUGAAGGAGCUGGCCUUGAUGAAGCAGCAGAACGUGAAAUGCCAAAACAGAUGGAGUUGCUUGGAUACAAGGAGAAUCUUACAGAAUACAAAUGAACUUGAAGGCAUUAGUAAUAUUUUCAAAAUAACAGAGAAAUGACACAAAGAGUGAAAGAGGUGAAAUCUGUCUUUGAUGGGAAUAAUAUCUAAAAGGAGUAUUGUACAUAUCUGCUGGCAGCUUUAAAAAAAUUAAUGAUUACUGAAAUUCAGAAAUGUCAACAGUAUGAAAUGAGCAAAAUUACUUCCCUAACAAGAUUUUAUAAGAGAUAAAGUAGUGGGAUAUUUCCUUGAAAUAAUGUUCAUCAUCAAUGCUGAAGUUUACAGAGGACAAAAAUAUGAAAUCAUGUGUUCAUAGACAGCCCCAGGACACACACAGUGGAUGCAUUGUGUUCUCCUGGGUUGCAUAACUACUUUGAAAGAAGUUUUCUUUUCUGUGUCAUAAAAGAAGACUUUUUGGCUCUGCCAGGAUACUCUACCAUUUGGCCCCAUAGACUUCAAGCAUGCCUGAAGAUACGUGCCAAUUGCUUGUUGGUUUUUGAAGAUCAUUCUGAUCUCUGCUGAGUUACCCAACUGGACUCAGAAGGGUCUGACCCACGUGCCACAUUCCAGCUGUUUGCUUGUUUGUUUUUAAUCUCAACCUAGUUUAAUGGGAAGAAGGUGAGUCACCUUGUGUGUAUGUCAGCUGAUAUUUAUGUCAUGGAAACUUAAAGGGGAUAGACUUGAAAUUGAAAAGAUAAGAUUGUGAUUGAAUGGGCCUUGUAUAAACUAUGUUUUGUUUUUGUUCUCUUGCUUACUUACCUUGUAAACAGAUUCCUUGAGUCUUAAACCAAGGAUCUUAAUCUUUGGUAUUUACAGAGCCUUUCUUCCACGAAGCAGAGUUAUUUAGGAUGCUGCCAGCAAAUGAGCUCUCAACUGGAUCUGUCGUCAUCAUCAUAGAACUUACUAUGGUCUGGUAGUAUUCAAAGUGCUUACUUAAAUUAAUUUCUGGAAACAACCUCACACAUUUGACUCUAUGUAUUUUUCCACCUCAUGAUGAGGAAACAGGCACAAAAAGGCCAAAUGAUUUUUUCAACGACAUUCAGCUAGGAAAGGGCAAAGACAGGCACAGAUGAAGAAAUAAUCACAGGUACAAAUGAGGUAUCUAUUAAUAGAGAUCCUAGGAAUCUGUGAAUGUCAAUAUGAAUUACAAACAUGAAAAUUAUUUGUUGAAUCAACAAAGUGGAAAUAAAACUAUUUUUUCUUAGCUGAUUUGGUAAUGACUAACAGUCAACAUACCUAUUAAGUGGUUUUGGUUGAAAUAAUUUAAUUUGUUGUCAAUACUAGUUCCUCCCUUUAAAUUUAAUGAUACAGUUCCAAUACCUAGAUGAACAAAUAAAGAUAGGAGAAAGAAUUCUAUAUUUUAGUCAUUUCUGCUUAUGGACUCAAUUUCAGAUUCCAGAAAUCCAUAACUAAGUAGUUAUAAAGCAAUUACAGUUGUUAGAGUAGCCCAGGAUGGCUGGACAAAGUUGAAUAUUUCAUGACUAAAAACAACAAUAGCCAGGCACAGUGGUUCACACCUAUAAUCAUAGCACUUUGGGUGGCUGGCUUAAGCCUGGAGUUUGAGACCAGCCUGGCAGUAAACUGAGACCUUGUCUCUACAAAAGAUACAAAAAUUAGUUGGUGUGGUGGUGUGUGCUUGUAGUCCCAGCUACUUUGGAGGCUGAGAUGGGAGAAUCACCUGAGCCCAGGAGGUUGAGGUUGCAGUGAGCUGAACUCGUGCAACUGCAUUCCGUCGCUGCACUCCAGCAGCCUGGGUGACAGAGCGAGACCCUAUCUCAAAACAAAACAAAACAACCAAAUCAAUUCUCACUAAAAAUAAACAUACCUAAGACAUCAUCGUAUAUUUUAAAUUCUUUCUAAUUAAAGCAAUGUUACUAAAUAUAUUUUAAAGAGGCUUGUUAUAAAUGAAAUACAAGGUCAUUGUACUGAAUUCAAAAUUUUUGUUAUAUGGAAGUUGUAGAACUUUGGGAUUAUGAAAUACUAACAAAAGUAAAAAUAUAAAGUCCGAUCUUUGAUAAGAAGAUACUUUGUCUUAGUCAGUUUGGGCUGCUACAACAAAAUACCAUGAAUGUGGUGGCUUCAACAACAGACAUUUAUUUUCUCACAGUUCUGGAGGCUGGAAAGUCUAAGAUCAAGGUACUGGCCGAUAUGGUUCUUGGUGAGGGCAUUCUUCCUACCUGAUAGAUAGUUACCUUUUUGCUGUGUGCUCAUGUGGUCUUUCCUCAGUACCUGAGCAUGGAGAGAGAGAAAGCUCCUGUGUUUCUUCAUUUCCUUUGAAAGACAUUAAUCCCAUCACGUAGUCCCCA